GAUGAACGCUAGCGGCAGGCUUAACACAUGCAAGUCGAGGGGUAUAGUUCUUCGGAACUAGAGACCGGCGCACGGGUGCGUAACGCGUAUGCAAUCUACCUUUUGCAGAGGGAUAGCCCAGAGAAAUUUGGAUUAAUACCUCAUGGUAUGUGAGAAUGGCAUCAUUUUCACAUUAAAGUCACAACGGCAAAAGAUGAGCAUGCGUCCCAUUAGCUUGUUGGUAAGGUAACGGCUUACCAAGGCAACGAUGGGUAGGGGUCCUGAGAGGGAGAUCCCCCACACCGGUACUGAGACACGGACCAGACUCCUACGGGAGGCAGCAGUGAGGAAUAUUGGACAAUGGGCGCAAGCCUGAUCCAGCCAUGCCGCGUGCAGGAUGACGGUCCUAUGGAUUGUAAACUGCUUUUGUACAGGAAGAAACACUGGUUCGUGAACCAGCUUGACGGUACUGUAAGAAUAAGGAUCGGCUAACUCCGUGCCAGCCGCCGCGGUAAUAC
rnacentral:rRNA from 1 species